AGUCAAAAGAGACCUUGAAGAGCUAUUAGGGAAAAAAGGAGGUGCAGGGACUGUGUUUUAAGCGCAAGUUCUGGAAGUAAGAGACUGGAAUUUUCUGAGAGUAUUUCCAUGUAUUUGUGCUGAGCCAAGCUCAGAUCCAGGAGCUCUUCAGGGCCCUUCAACAGCAACAGUAAUGUUGGAUAAUAUUCUACAUUUGCAAGACAUUACUGCACUGUGUGUGUGCCACUAAAUAGUGCUCUUGUGUGCCAAGUACAGCUCUGCAGUGUGGAUAUUUCCAGGUGGGUAUGGCUCUGUGUAUGGCCCACGGAACCCAGUCCAGUUUCAGACACAGAGGAAAAAAUGUUCUUCAUCCCAGAAAACUCAAAGGUGCCAUGGGCCUGGUGUUUUCUGAGGGAUGUGGGCAUGCCCUGUCUGUGCUCUGAGACCAGGCAGCCACAGCCCAGCUCCAGCUGGAAGCUGCAGCAUGGAGAGGUUGGCUGGACAGAACUGGAGGUGCAUCCAAAGGGUCUGGCAGAGCUGCCUUCAGUGGUGGGCUCCUGGGGAGGGAGCCUUGUGUGCCUGCACAGUACCUACCCAAAUUAAGUCAAGUGAGAGAAUUAACAACCAUUCUGGCCACUGUAAUACAAACAGAAACAAAUUUUUGAAAUUUUAUAGAAUAAUGAUUGAGAAUGCUCUUGUUCCUGCAUUAAUAUGGUUUUGAAUUUGUGAAGACUUACUGCCCUUUUAUGCUAUUUCAUAUUUUUUAGAGUCAAAUAUAAAUAUGGAAUGCUAAUAAUAUUUUAAAAUUCUUUUUAUCUUUUAGGGCAGUCAGUGUAGGCAUGGAGGAAUAAACUUGCCAUUCCUAGACGACCUUUUGAAAGGAUUUGUUAAUUAUAGCAGUUAUUAUUUGAGUUUGACCAAAUCAAGAAGUAAUUAAUUUUUUAUUUGUGGGCAUAUUCCACAAAUAUAUAUAGAAAAAUAUAUUUGUGGAAUGGGGCUUGGUCUGUCUUCUGUGGGAGCAAUGGAAAUAUUCCAGUUGAUUUCUAUUCAUGAUUUAAAUGUGUAGCAAAAAAAAAUAGGCAAAUUGAUUUAAGUGAGAAUGAAGUCAAUAUUAUCACAGUGAGCAGAGCCUAAGGCACGAAUUCAAUUGGUGGAAUAUUUUUUUCCCCAGCAAUCUAUACCCGAGUUGAACCAGAUUCAAUAUUUCUAGGCUUUUGUCUUGUCUGCAGGCACAGCCAGGUUGGUUUCGAAGAUGCAGGCCUGAGCUCCUGCUAUGAAUGCUCAGAGCUCGUCAUUUGUUCUCCCUAAUUCCACAUCAGAACCUGUUAAGCCCAAAGACAGCCAGCAGUGGAAGGAUGCUGGCUCACUUCCAGCCACCUCAUUACCAUGAGCAGCACAGAUGGAUGUGAGCAUUCAUUAGCACUGAGUUCCCCGGGGAGCACAGUGAUUUGGAAAAAAGAGCAACGAUUUCCUGCCGAGGGAAUGAAAAGCUGGAAACUGAAUUCCUGCGUCCUGCGUCCACUGUUUUGGUUACAUUAGAAUAGGGUACUUAUUGAAUUCAACUGAAUAGGAAUUAAAACCCAGGGGCACCUAUCCAAGAUCUCUAUUGCUGGUAAAAUAGUUGCUAAACACCAGCAGUGUAGAUACCAAAACAACAGAGCUCAGUUCUCUUGGCCUUUCUACUUCUGAUUGCCCUUGAGCCUCUCUUAGAAACAGAGCUCCUUAUGUUACUCAGAUGAAAUAGUACUGAUUUAUAAAUCCUUGAAACAAAAACUGAGAUGAUUUUUACUUUUGCCUUUUGACUACUGGACAUUUCAGUCUUUUCAGCAAAAAGAGUUAGGAUUAUCCAGCAAAUUAUUCCUACAAAUGAAAAGGUGGUCAUGUCCUUUUGGAGCUACCCAAACUCAUUUAAAUUCAUAGAUCCCAUAAUCAGUGCUGUCAAGUCAGAUUUCAGUUUUUCUUUACAAACAUGCUCCAAAACCUAUUUGAAACAAACAACCAAACAAAAACCACCCCCCCCACACACACAAUUUAAUCAAUAUUUAAAUGCACACAUUGCUAAUGAAUUUUUUAACUGUCAUGUGAGACAGUUUGUUAUGGAAAUACUAAAGGGCUUAAAUGCAAAGAUGCAAAUUUUAGAAGAAAGACAAGAUAUGUUUGUUUUCAGCUGUGGAUUUAGCAGGAGAGGUGUGCCUGAGCAGUUGCUAUAGCUAUAGAGAAUUUUGGAUAAGAAGUUAAAUCUGUACUGCAGUGAUAUGCCUCUGGAGCAUGUGGAAUAUGAACAGAUAUAUUUGAGUGCUCCUAUCAUAGAACAGUCCUACUGUGACAGAUGAGGCACAAUUGUAAAAUUAGUCCCUGUCCAAAGGAUGCAGAAACCAAGGGAAAAUAGGUGGAUGCAACUGAAAAAUGGAGAUAAAACAACAAGCUGAAGUUUGUUUAUGUGCUGAUGGAGGAGGAGAGGUUUCCUGCACAGUGCCUGGGCAGGUGAUGAAGGCUUCUCACCAGAAUACCCUGCAGUCCUCAUCCUGUGCAUGCUAUCCACAAAGAGGGCUUGGAUCUCCCAAAAGCAAAUCAUGAAACAACCUGAGCCUACCUACUGCAUAUGACAGUAAAGUAACAAGGCAGAACUUGAAGAAAAUGCCAUUUCUGUUCUUCCUUGCUACCUGCUGUCAGGAAGGAGCUAGCAGCUCUGAAAUGUUGCAUGUGGAGGGGUUUCAAACAGUUAAAAUUAGCCUACCUGUAUGUUGUGUGCCUCAGUAUCAAGCAUUGAAGUACCUAAAUACAGUAUUUCACCAAGGUAGCACUGAUUUAACACUGUCCAGGAUGGAUGCCCAGCUCUCCUCUCUCAUCAACCUGUGCAGUGCAGAGGACCACACUGAUCCUAAGGUGACUUUCUGCCACCCUGAGGAGCUUUGGGCUUCUGAUGUGACAUGCAGCUGCAAAAAGGGUCAAGUGGGACUUGCUGCCUGUCCCAAAGCCACUGUCCAUCCUGGCACUGCAGACCUUCAGCCAGUGCUAAGCUCAAGGCUCAGCAGGAAGCACAAGUCAGGAAUCAAGACAAGCCAAGACACUGUGGGCAAGACCAUCACUUUUCCUUUGGGAGCUGUAAGGCUUCUUGAGCUGAGCUGUCCAGUUGAGAACCCAUUAUCUUCACUGGGUUCCUGCACACAUCCCUAUAUAUUCAGCUGUUUUCUGCUGGAAUUGGCACUUAGCAGAUAUUCUGCUCAGAAAGAAAAAUCAAUGGCUGAGAGUGAUUUCUGGGCACUGCUUUCCUUUUGCGUGACUACCCCUUAAUUUUAGAAUGUUUUCUUUAAAAAAUUAACAUAUCUCAUACUUGUGUCUGACCCAAGACUGAGUACUUCAAAAUUUUACUUUGAAUUGAACAAGUUCAAAUGUGAGGUUGCCAAUUUUAGAAAUAGAGAAUUUAGAAAAAACUCACACUGAGCUGAAAAAUUUGAAGACCUCUGCAUAGGCUUAUGUUUUUGUAAGGUACUCUUUUUAAAAUGUAAUCUUUUUGUGGUUGGUCAUAUUUCCUGGAACGAGUUACUAGAGUUCAGCUUUCUGCUUGUUAAAAAAAUAAAAAAUUAAUUAAUUGUAGAGCUUGGCAAAUAGAUUCUCAUUUACAUAAAAAGUAGAACAUGUGAUGGAUGGUUGUACAUGAAAGAUAUUAAAGAUAUAUGGUAAACUAAAUUUAACUGUGUGUUUUAAUCUCUAAAAGAUUGUAUAAAUAUUCAACUUUAGAAGAGUUUUCUGGAAGUUGUUCUGUCUGUACUCAUAAUUAAGAAUGCUGUAAUUUUUGUCUGGGCAAUUUUAUUCAGAUCCUCUUUUCCCCAAUUCAAUUUCUUGUUUAGAUUAAAAAAACAAACAGACAAAAACCCCAAAACAUUAAGAUGCCUUGCUAGAUACAUUCAGUGAGUGGGAUUUGCUCAGAAAUAGUUCAUUCUUUCUUGGCUGUUAACUUUGUCCCUCAUCUUUUUGUGCCAUGUUGUUGGAAAUCUGCUUUGAAAAGUGAGUAUUUACUUGACAGAUUUCCUAUGGCAUGAUUGCUGUGGUAUCUGAGUACUGCAUAAGCAUUAACUAAUUAAACCUCACAGCACCCUUGGGAGGUGAAGGCAUGCUAUUAUCCAAAUAUGACUGAUGAGGUAUUCAGGUGAAAACUUCCAUUAAUUUUGGGAGUCCACUCAGUACAAGUCACAUUUCCCUGUUUCUAGACCCUUUGCUGUGGAGCUGCGACUUACGAUGUUGGAGGACCCUGCAGGACUCUGCAAGGAGGGAAUUUUUAGAGUCACAGAUGGCAGGAUUCUUCUAGAAAUCACUCAGAAAUCUGGCAGAUCAGGUCGUGUAAGCACCUAUAGAUCUGUGAGACUACUUAGUUUGCAGAAAUCUUCAAAAUAAGCUAUUUUUUGCCAGUACAAAAAGUAUCUAUCUAUCUAUCUAUCUAUCUAUCUAUCUAUCUAUCUGUAUAUCUACACCAUUUUUCUGUCACAAACUUUCUUUAACUUUGAAUGCUGGAAUACUAGAUUUCAACAUGAAAUGUUGAAAAUUAUUCUCACAUAGUUAAAAUGCAUUUAAAGGUGUACACGGGCAAAAUAUUAUAAUAAUCCUUAGUAUCCACCUGAGAAAUAACUGAGUCAUUUGGGCCAAGGCAGGAAAUCGUUAAAAUAUUUUUCUAGGUUUUCUCUAA